rnacentral:rRNA from 1 species
GGCGCAAGCCUGACCCAGCCAUGCCGCGUGCAGGAAGACGGCCUUAUGGGUUGUAAACUGCUUUUAUUAGGGAAUAAACCCCGUACGUGUACGGGGCUGAAUGUACCUAAAGAAUAAGCAUCGGCUAACUCCGUGCCAGCAGCCGCGGUAAUACGGAGGAUGCAAGCGUUAUCCGGAUUCAUUGGGUUUAAAGGGUGCGCAGGCGGAUGUGUAAGUCAGUGGUGAAAUCCUACGGCUCAACCGUAGAACUGCCAUUGAUACUGCACGUCUUGAGUCUAGUUGAAGUGGGCGGAAUGUAGCAUGUAGCGGUGAAAUGCAUAGAUAUGCUACAGAACACCUAUUGCGAAGGCAGCUCACUAAACUAUAACUGACGCUCAUGCACGAAAGCGUGGGGAGCAAACAGGAUUAGAUACCCUGGUAG